rnacentral:lncRNA from 1 species
AGAAAGAAGCGAAAAAGUGCUAUGAGAAUAGCCUGAAAAACAAGAGGUCGGUGAGUUAUGUGACAACCACCCCACCUCCCGGUGUGAAGCCCAGAUCGACGGUAACAGAGGAGGCCGCCGAAAGAGAUGUGGAGAUGGUGGACGCUGAGCUGGGCGAGAGGAAUGCUGGUCUGGAGGAGGAAGAGGCGCGGAAUCGCCCUGAGGAAGCGAGGGAGCAGGGAAUCGCCAGGGCGGUGAUCGCCAGAGAAUCCAG